AUACCUUUCUCGGCCUUUUGGCUAAGAUCAAGUGUAGUAUCUGUUCUUAUCAGUUUAAUAUCUGAUAUGUGGGCCAUGUGCCCACUUCGAUAUUAAAUUUAUUUUUUGUGGGGGAGGGCCCAUCACAGUGGCUUGCCACUGGGACCCUCGCGCGUCGCCCAGGCGUUGCACUGCUGCCCGGGCCUGGCGCACCCCAA
rnacentral:snRNA from 2 species